rnacentral:lncRNA from 1 species
GGGGGCCACAGCAGGGGGCGGGUUCAUGAAGAGGAGGGGCAUAGCCCAGGAGCACCAGGAUUGGGCACAACAGGGAGAGUCGCCAGAGGGGGCUGAGCUUGGCUACAGGAUGAGGAGGGGUGUGGCCAGGCUCUUCAGCCUUGGGCAUCCUUGGGCUGUCAUGGGAGGAGCCGGGUUCAAGAAGAGAAGUGGUGUAGCCCAAAAGCACUAGGAUUGGGCACAACAGAGUGGCUAAUGGAAGGGUUGGAGCUUGUUCACUUGAGAGGCGUGGCCAGGACACCUCAGCUUUGGUGUUCUGGUGCUGGGUCAUGGGAGGAGUGGGGCUGGUCACACCAGGAGGUGGGCCUGGGUUCAGGAGGAAGAGUUGCACAGCUCCAAAGUGCCUGGAUUGGGCACAACUUGGCAGGUCACGGCAGGGGGUGGAGCCAGGGCACCUCAGCUGUGGGUAUCCUUGGGCUGUAAUGAGAGGGGCGGGGCCUGGGUUCUGGAGGAGGAGCUGUGUGGCAGGGGUGGGGCAGGAUUGGGCACACCAGGGCGAGUCACAGGAGAAAGAGCCUGGUCUGGUCACCUCUCAGGUCUGGGCUCCCUGGGGCCAGUCACAGUAGUGUCCAUCACUGAGCCAGUGGCAAUGCCCUACCAGCCUGGCCUUCUGAGCCCAUUUGCACCACUGGAUAGAGGGUAUGAAGAAGGGGAGACUUGGUGGUGUCCACCCACAACGACAGUACCCAGAAUUCUUGGCCUGACAGGCCACACCCAGGACCACAGUACCCAGAAAACUCUGCAUGCCCCAAUCAAGAACUACACUACCCAGAAUCCUUGGUGUGACCCCCGCAGACUAAAGUACCCAGAAGAUUAUGCAUGCCCACCACAGGCAAAACCCUUAGCCCACCCCUCCCCCAUUAUGGUACUCAUAAUCCUCAUUGUGACUCUCCCUCCCAGAACUACAGUAUCCAGAAACUUUUGCGUGUCAUUCCCCUCCCCAUCAUGGUUCACAGUAUCCUCCCCAGGACACCACUUCCCCCAUGACUAUGGUACCUGGAAGGCUCGCUGUGCCUCCCACCACCACAAGGAUCAAGACAUAAAGAAUCCAGCCAAGGCUUGCAGCCCAGAGCAACAUCCUGCACAAUUCCAGCCAAAGGCCUAGAGCCCACAGACAUGCCCUCCAUGAGUCUGCAUCAGGGAUCUGCACUGGGAAGCCCAAAAGGCUAGUGGUGGAUUUUAGAAAGUCUAUGCUGGCCAAGUAAAAGAGCUGUGCCAGAAGGCUAAAAGAUCUACACUGGAGCCAGGAAGCGACAGUCAAGGUGAAGACCAGAGCUCCCCCCCACCCCCUCCACCCCCUCCACCAAGAGAACAGCAGCUAUCCCUGGUAAUGGCAAGGACUGACCUUCUUCUAUCCGAAAAAUAAGUCGUGGGGGCAAGCUUCUCUAGUAAAAACAACAGUAUGCACCUUCCCCUCCUAUGCUCCUUUUGUGCCAUUGGCAACAAUCCUCAGGUGGGCCUUCCACACCCAGAACCACACUGAUUUAGUUCAGCUGCACAUUCUACUUCAGUUAACCAUUAGUCAAUUAAACACAGUACCCAAAAGCCUCUGCAUGCACACACCUGUACUGCAGUAGCCUUUACUAUCACUUCCCCUCCCGCCCAGGAUACCAGACAAUUCCACAUCUGGGACUACAGUACCCAGAAGUACACACACACACACACACACACACACACACACACACACACUAUAGUAUCUUGACUACUCAUCAUGCCCCCAUGAGAUUACAGGACUCAUUACUUUUGGCAUGAUCCCCCGCAAGAUUACAUUAUUUUGAAUCAUUGGUGUGGCCCAUUACUAUGGUAGAAUCAUUGCCCAGGGUCUAAGGUGUUUAUAAUAAACCUAGUCCUCAAUGAGAUAUGCUAGGGAGUAUAAGAUCUCUUGGUCUGGUGACAUGGUCCUUUUCUAGGCCCUGGUUUCUAUGUUUUUAAGAGCAUUAUAGAUACAUUAAGAACAUGUGCCAUUUCUGUGCUGCAGAUUAAAAAAUAAUUGCCCCCAAAAUUUCUUUGGACCUCAGUCUUACUAUUUUGCUAUGCAAAACUUAAUUUUCAGCCUGGCGUGGUUGUGCAUGGCUGUAAUCUCAACACUUGGGAGGCUAAGGCAGGAGAUUCACCAUGAGUUAGAAUCCUGCCUGGGCUUCAUAAGUGAGUUGAAAGUCAGCCUGAUCUAAAUACUAAGAUCUAGUCUCAA